ensembl:lncRNA
UUUAAUUCUUUGCAAUUCUAUGCACUACGAUUUUAAUUCUUUGCAAUUCUAUGCAUUAUACGAUUUUAAUUAUUUGCAAUUCUAUGCACUAUGAUUUCAAUUCUUUGCAAUUCUAUGCACUACGAUUUUAAGUCAUUGCAAUGUGGUUUUAUUCUGUGCAAUAUAAUCUGAAAUAUGUACUCGGACAAUUGCAGUUGUCCAAUUGGGGAGUAUAGUCGACCUUUGGCUAUAAGAUAUGUGUAUGUAAACAUACUGACUGUACAGCAAAUGCAAUUGUGUUGGGAGCGUUUCACCUGGUAGCCUGGAAGCUAGUUUGCUCCAACGCAACUGUGUUGGUAGCUUGGAAGGUAGUUUGCUCCAACGCAACUGUGUUGGGAGCGUUUCACCUGGUAGCCUGGAAGCUAGUUUGCUCCAACGCAACUGUGUUGGGAGCGUUUCACCUGGUAGCCUGGAAGGUAGUUUGCUCCAACGCAACUGUGUUGGGAGCGUUUCACCUGGUAGCCUGGAAGGUAGUUUGCUCCAACGCAACUGUGUUGGGAGCGUUUCACCUGGUAGCUUGGAAGGUAGUUUGCUCCAACGCAACUGUGUUGGGAGCGUUUCACCUGGUAGCGUGGAAGCUAGUUGCUCCAACGCAACUGUGUUGGGAGCGUUUCACCUGGUAGCUUGGAAGGUAGUUUGCUCCAACGCAACUGUGUUGGGAGCGUUUCACCUGGUAGCUUGGAAUUUAGUUUGCUCCAACGCAACUGUGUUGGGAGCGUUUCACCUGGUAGCCUGGAAGGUAGUUUGCUCCAAUGCAACUGUGUUGGGAGCGUUUCACCUGGUAGCUUGGAAGGUAGUUUGCUCCAAUGCAACUGUGUUGUGAGCGUUUCACCUGGUAGACUGGAAGGCAGUUUGCUCCAACGCAAAUGUGUUGUGAGCGUUUCACCUGGUAGUUUGGAAGGUAGUUUGCUCCAACGCAACGCGGUUGAUUGUUGGUUUUUUGUGCGCUUUUGACUGAACAAUCCGGACAACGUUGCCACCAACGGGGGAGCGAGGACCCCCGCAUGCAAGUCACCAAUCGUUUGUUAUUCCUUGAGCUGGUUGAAGUUGUUUGGUUAUGUUUGGCUGCUGUUUUCAGAAUGUGUCCACCGCACACACACAUCGCUAUAUUCUUUCCCCUAAACUUAACCUGGAUUUUACCGCUCGUCUGUUUGUUUUUGGCUUAUUCUAAGUUUAGUGCAGUGUUGUAGGUUGUUUUUUAGUGCAUUGUUGCACGUGUUUGUUUGUGGCCUAACGGGGGACGACUAAACGACUGACUUUACUAACGCUGCGGACUGCUACAACAACAACAACAACCUGUCUGGACACUGGGAAGGAUGUGCUCUUGAAACUGGACGCAAAAUGGAAGAACACCUGCAACUAUUGUGAAAGUUCAACGUUUGGGCAAAAUUGGAAUUGGUGAAAGCAAACAAGCGCAAGUUAAAUGGUAAGUAUACCAAUUGGCGAAUGCAACUAUUUUCGCCAAUUGCUUUUUUGUUUCACAGCACCACUGGACUACAGAACAUCCCUAGUGGAAAUGACAUCGGUGCAAUUCUGGAUUUUACAAUUUGAUGUCACAGCACCUUCUGCCGAUGCUUCACCUCCCUCAGGAAUCCACAAAGAACUGGAAGUUUUGGGAAAAACCCAGAACGGAUGUCUGGCAAACCGAAAUUAGGGCGAGUGUGAAGUUGUGACCUCAAACUUCCACAAUGGGGUUUGUUUUCGCUCCAACCGUAACCCCACUGGACUGGUGUAUGAAAAGCUGUCAGACUGACUUCACUAGACGAAUGACUGCGGGCAUGUUAUGGUUUGGUAUCAAUUGUUGGUUUUUGGUUUGGUAGGUUUGAAUUUAGGAGAUGGAUUAGUUGAUUUACACAUCCACACAGUACUCUACAUUCUCCCUUUUUUACAACUUUCCAUACAUUUGCAAAUUGUUGACUGCUGCUGAAGUUGUAGUCUACUGCUGCUUCAUACUUCAAUGUGGUUUUAUUCUGUGCUAAAUGAUUUUAAUUCCUUGCAAUGUGGUUUGAUUCUAUGCACUACGGUUUUAAUUCUUUGCAAUUCUAUGCACUACGAUUCUAAUUCUUUGCAAUUCUAUGCACUACGAUUUUCAUUAUUUUGCAAUUCUAUGCAUUAUACGAUUUUAAUUCUUUGCAAUUCUAUGCACUACGAUUUUAAUUCUUUGCAAUUCUAUGCACUACGAUUUUAAUUAUUUGCCAUUCUAUGCUCUAUAUGAUUUUUAUUACUUGCAAUUCUAUGCACUAAGAUUUUAAUUCUUUGCAAUUCUAUGCAUUAUACGAUUUUAAUUCUUUGCAAUUCUAUGCAUUAUUUUAAGUCUUUGCAAUUCUAUGCAUUACGAUUUUAAUUAUUUGCAAUUCUAUGCACUACGAUUUUUCAUUCUUUUCAAUUCUAUGCACUACGAUUUUAAUUCUUUGCAAUUCUAUGCAUUAUACGAUUUUAAUUCUUUGCAAUUCUAUGCACUACGAUUUUUCAUUCUUUUCAAUUCUAUGCACUACGAUUUUAAUUCUUUGCAAUUCUAUGCACUAAGAUUUUAAUUCUUUGCAAUUCUAUGCAUUAUACGAUUUUAUUUCUUUGCAAUUCUAUGCACUAAGGUUUCAAUUCUUUGCAAUUCUAUGCACUACGAUUUUAAGUCAUUGCAAUGUGGUUUUAUUCUGUGCAAUAUAAUCUGAAAUAUGUACUCGGACAAUUGCAGUUGGCCAAUUGGGGAGUAUAGUCGACCUAUGGCUAUAAGAUGUGUAUGUAAACAUACUGACUGUACAGCAAAUGCAAUUGUGUUGGGAGCGUUUCACCUGGUAGCCUGGAAGCUAGUUUGCUCCAACGCAACUGUGUUGGGAGCGUUUCACCUGGUAGCUUGGAAGGUAGUUGCUCCAACGCAACUGUGUUGGGAGCGUUUCACCUGGUAGCUUGGAAGGUAGUUUGCUCCAACGCAACUGUGUUGGGAGCCUUUCGCCUGGUAGCUAACCUGUGUGUUGUAUUUAUUCAUAUUACUUAAUUGUCUAGCAUCUGCAUUAGCUAGCUAUAGCUGCUGUAUACGGGGAAUGGUUUAACCUAGCGAUUUUUAGUACUUGCACUUGGUCCUAUGAACAUCAACACCGGCAAAUUCAGAUUUGUAGUACUGCAAAUUUAAAUCUUUGACAAAUUUUCCAUUUCAAUAUUUUGUCAAAUUUCACAAAGUCCAUUCCCAGAUAUGUACGAACUUCGGCAAUGGAGGCAAGUAAGGUUUAUCACUUUCUAUGGCAAUUUACUUGAGUUAAAUUAUUUGCUCUAUAAAAACAUAUGGUUCUCUCUGUACCAUAAUCAUCUUGCUAGAUAUGCCUCAUGCUGUCCUUUAUAUUACUUAUUUGCAAGGAAUUUACGCAUUGACAAUUAUUUAUGAACGUUGAACCUUUAAAGAAUUGAAUUAUUUUUGUUCAGGGGCGGGUUUGCCCCUGAACAUUUAAUUUCAAGAUCAGUGUUCUACAGUGUUUGUCAAAUUCAGGACUGGCGCUGGAAGCUGUAGGUGGAGGGAAGCCCAGGAGUGGUGCAGCUCUGCAGAUGCUGAAGGUGUGCCAAAGGGUCACGUGUGUUCCUGAAGGGACUGUGGCGACGCAGUCGGAGGUCCCUGCGGUGGCGGUCAGCGGGAGGUGUCAAGACCAACCAGCUCCUCGUCCAGGAAAGGUCACGAUAGAAGAGCAGAUGGCUGUGCAGUUGCCAUGGUGCAGAGACCCAGAGUAUGAUGACCGAACAGUUGAUCUACAACGAUGGCCUACUCCCCAUCCACCCUGAGGAUCCCUGGCUACACCUACAAUCCAAUCUACCCCAGACAUAACCACUCGGAGCUCAACAACUCCUACAACUCCUCCUGCCUCCUACACACCAUACUGUUACCACUUUACCAUUUUAACUUUAAAAAAAAGUACUGUAAUUCACACCAUGUUGUAGGAAAAGCAUGUUUAGCUCAAUGAUUUAUACAUUCUAUUUCUGUGACCCCAACUAUUGUAUUUCUAACCCAGUUACCUCGUAACCCUCUUUCUAAGGGAGCGACUAAAGGGACAAAGCUGGAGCAAACCUGAGCUUAACAAUCUUUCUAAUCUUUCUUUCAAAUGUCCUAAAUUGAAACAUAUAAAAUGCCUAAAGUAACUUGUCUAACAAAACAAAAAGCCAACCUAAUACCGAAACUUAACCAUCUAACUAAAGUGCCUAAACUCUCUUACCUUAACCGAGUACCUAAACCGAACCAUUUAACUAAACAUCUCAAAGGCCUAAACUCGCUUACCUCAACCUAACCUAAUACCCAAACUUAACCAUCUAACUGAAGAGCUCAAACACCUAAACUCUUACCUUAACCUAGUACCUAAACUGAACCAUGUAACUAAACAUCUCAAAGGCCUAAACUCGCUUACCUCAACCUAACCUAAUACCCAAACUUGACCAUCUAACUUAAAAGCCCAAAUGCUUAAACUCUUACCCUAACCUGGUACCUAAACUUGACAAUCUAACUAAGCAUCUCUAAUAACUAAACUCUUUCCUAAUACCUAAACAAUCUUUAAUACAAUCACUAAUGCCUAAACUUAAACAAACACCAAUAAUAAAAGUUAACCAUCCUUAAUCUUGAACCCAAACCAGACUUGUCCCUGGGUCGCUCCACUUUGUUUCUUUAAAGGCAUCUCUUUUCCCCUGCAUCUGUGUUUUGUUCCUUGAGGACUUCAGGUGGGGUGCCAUAGAGUGUUGCAUGGGUUCUUGGGUCAAUUGUGGCACCCAUUGCACUCCUGACCAUCCCUGGAAGAAGGGAUCCCCUCCACUGCGUUUCUUCUCAAGAUUUCUUCCUUGCUGAUUCAAGGGAGUUUUUUCUUGCCCGUGUGGGGGCAUGGGUAAAGGGGGGUGUCACAAAUAUUUGGCCUGUUAAGCCCUUUGAGACUGUUAUGGUGAUUAAGGGCUAUACAAAUAAAAUUGAAUUGAAUAAAGAUACUUCAUCUUUACAGAUUUUGUUUUGGGGAAUUGGGACAGCUGAGCAGCUUAAGCAUCCUUACUGGUGAAUCUGAUCUGACGAUAUCAAUCAUAGGACUAGGAAGCUGCAGAGUUCUUCCAAGAAAGGGUUCCAAUCCAGGAUAGCUUUUAACACACUUUAUUUGUUAAAGUAUUUCGGUAUGGUAACUACGGAGCAAAAGCAGGUGGAAGCGUGUUGAACACGUGCUGAGCGUCUCCCUGAUGAUCAAAAACAUUAACCCUUUGUUUGGUAGCAGCUAGAAGAUUCUGAAGUCCAACUUCUCUGUCGAGAUUGAACUGAAAUGCAAUGCACAACAUGCAAUUUGUCCUUAUCUCAAUUUUUAAAACUUUUUAUAUUUUUUAUUACUAUUUAUUGUGCUGCUCUCUCUCUCGCUCUCUCUCGCUCUCUCGCUCUCUCGAUCUCUCUCUGUAUUAAUACUGUACUUGACUUGGGAAGCCCUGCACAAGAAUUCCAAUGUGUUUGAACUGUCUGGUUUAUGCACAAAUGGCGAAUAAAAACCUUUGAACCUUUGAA